rnacentral:rRNA from 1 species
CUAAAAAACCCCCCUUAACCAUUUU